GCGUGUAUAGCUCAGUGGUAGAGUGCAUGACUAGUAUGUGGGAGGUCCUGGGUUCAAUCCCCAGUACACAUA
rnacentral:tRNA from 1 species